rnacentral:rRNA from 1 species
UACGUAGGAGGCAAGCGUUGUCCGGAAUCACUGGGCGUAAAGCGCGUGUAGGCGGAUCGCUAAGUCUGUGGUGAAAGCGCCUGGCUUAACCGGGCGAGGUCCAUGGAAACUAGCGGUCUGGAGGCCGGUAGAGGGGGGUGGAAUUCCGGGUGUAGUGGUGAAAUGCGUAGAGAUCCGGAGGAACACCAGUGGCGAAGGCGGCCCCCUGGGCCGCGCCUGACGCUGAGACGCGAAAGCGCGGGUAGCGAACGGG